UCCGUCUAGGUUGCCCCGGCUCACUUUUUUAUCGCCGUGUUGGGAUAAUUUUUAAUACUUUAUAGCUUAAUGUUUUCGCUCGUGCGGCUAUAAGGGCAUGGAAGGCCAAGUUAUCGGACCCGGGCCAUACCGGGCCACGAAGCUGUGGAAUGAAACCAUUAAGCUUUUUCGUGGAGGUAUGCCAUUACGGAGGCACUGGGCGAACUUUCGCUGCUAUGACUGCACUUUCGCCGGUUCGGAGGCGGUGGAUUAUCUUCAUGAGCUUCUCCGAAGCAACUACAACUUUGGGCCCGAGGUAACGCGUUACCAGACUCUGCAGCUGCUCAGGAAGUUCUUUAAAGCCCAUGUGAUUGAAGACGUCAAAGGACGCCACGGGACAGAGGACUUUGAAGACAACAGCCAUCUGUACAGGUUCCCCACAAUGUCUCCGCUCAAGUCUCUUCCAACAAGACCAUCAUGGAGAGACGACAGCGACCUGCCCAGGCUAAUCCGCUGGGAUGACUACGAGGAACUGCCUCAGAAAGAAAAUGUUGCACCUCAGAAAUCUGCAGUACUGAAUUCAGACUUAUGGAAUAAAAGACACAGCGUUGCCAUUGGAGAUGUGCAUGAAUGCAAGCUCAUACGUAGGAGGGAAGUGACUUCCAAACAAGUGGACCACAUCUGGAAAUCGAUGACUGUCACACAUUUGCAGAGAGUUCUGGGCCUGAAGACGUUGGAUGGAAUUUUAAGCCCAGCACAUGUGAAUGGGAAAGACAUUGUUGUCAAUAUCUUCAGUGUUAAUAAAACAGGCAUAGUUGUUCUGGAAAACAAAGCUGAGGACAUGCCGUAUUGGGUGAUCUCAGCAAUGAAAUGCCUUGCAAACUGGCCUGAAGGCAAUGAUGCCAAGCAGCCGCUGUACCCAGGGUUCGAGAGAGAUGUUCUGAGGACCGUAGCAGAUUAUUAUCAAAAACUAAAAGAGCCCUUGCUGACCUUCCGUCUUUACGAGGUCUUUGUCAACAUCCUCAGCCUGCUACAGGAGCAGGAUAAAGCCACCGAGGCUCUUCAAGUCAGCUGCCUGCUGCUGCCACCGCCAAACCGCAGGCGGCUCCAGCUUUUACUGCGCCUCAUGGCUCGCGUCUGCCACAAUCCCCGCCUGCCUCCUCUUAACGACACUAUUGCUACCCGCACGCUGAUGGUGCAGAUGUUCUCUCACUGCGUCCUGGGCUCUCCCGAUGACAUGGACUUGGACGAGUUGCUCGCUACCAAACUGGUGACCUUCAUGAUGGAGCGCCACGGCGCGAUCUUCCAAGUGAAUGCCAAGCUGCGCUGCCAGGUUGAGGAGCAUCUGUCACACUUGAAAAGAGCUCAGAUCAAAUAUGCAGGCUCGGAUACGGAUUUCAGUGCAUCGCCGGCUUUCUGCAAACAGAUCAAGAGAGUAGACUGUGAGGAGCAGAAAGUUAUAGGAACACAGAUCCCCCUGCAGCAGCUGCUGGAAGGUCUGAUUGCAGACCAAGAACUCCCUGCAAAAGACAAGAGGAAAAGACUCAAACAGCCCUGUAUGGGUCUGCAGCCUUUGGGAAAAACAGCUCUCCUGGCCUACAUGCCAGCAGUCGGCGGCUGCGGCGCUCCUGCUUUGUAACGAGCCUGUAAGACCGCGGGCGGCUGAGAAUCAAAUCACAACAGUGAGCCAAACAAUGAAAGAUGGAUUUCAGAGCCGAAGAGGAAGCAGACCUCUCAGUGGGCAGCUUCUGACCACACCAUUUCUACACAUCCCAUAGCUCUCCAUACUGAAUCAGACAAUAAAGAGAGCCAGGAAGAGAACGAUGGACUGAUAGACGCAGAGACAUGGAGCCGGUACCAAGACAAGAGUCUGCAGAAUUAAAAGAUAAGCUGGAGCCACGAGUUUCCAAAUUUGGUUGUGUUGUUUUCGUUCGCCCUAACUCUUUUGUUCUACUCACUGUCUCAUCCGUAAAGCUUCGAAUGCAAGCUUGACCAACGGUUGUGUGUUCUCUGUUGGCAGAAUCACAGACAGGAAUGUCUGUACCUACUGUGGUCUAAAUGUACAUCACAGAGAGAGCUGACACCAGAGUCUGAUUUUGCCCAAAUCUGAAGCCUAUUUCAUCACUUUUCACUCAGGCUAAAGGUUCCCGAGAAAAUGUGUCACCGCCAUGUCCCGGGUUGUUUUGGGGUUUGUUUAUUAUUCUGUGUUCCUAAGUCUCUUUCUCUGAUUAGAUCAGUCGUGUUUCUGAUUAUUUUAGUUCAAUCCAACACUCAGCUCAGGAGAGCGACAGAGCAUCAGCUGUCCCUCCGUCUCACUUUAUAGACGCUACUAGACAAUUUCAGGCUUAACAUGGACAAGUAUUAAUUUUCCUAAUUAUCCAUACCCAUCUGUGUGCUCCAUCUGGAAGCCUGGGUAGCUGAGAAACAAGCACUCAGGGCUGAUCUUGGCUGUUUGUGGAACCCACCAGUACAACACAGGGACGCCAAUAAAACGUGAUAGCUCAGCGAGGUAAUUAUGUCGGACUUGUCGGAAGUGUUUUAGUUUCAAGCAACCACACCGUUUCUGUCUGCCUUUGAUGUGUGGAUUUGCAAACAGCGCUGGGAACGACCUUGGUCUUUCCAGCUGUCAAUCACGUUGGAUUUCCCUGAGCUAACAGUGCUGCUGACGAGACUUUUUCCAUACACAUAAAGUGCCAGUUGAUUUUUUUUUUCCCUGUGUGGCACAAGCAGCUAUUAUUCUAAUUUAUUUAUUUUUAUUUAUUCCUUUGCUUUUUGACAUUUAAAAGUUGUACUUUCAGACAGUAGAUGAAAGUAAAAACAUCUCUGAUGGAGGUGGAUCAGCUAAGAAAAGUUCACCCCCGUAGGGACAGGCCACAGUUUUGGAAAACAUUUCAAAGAGCAGCGAGUGGGAGGUUUCCGAAAUCAGAUUUGCUUCUGAAGAUGACGCUGCCAUUAAGCACGUCAAAAGUCAAACUGAGGUUGUCGGCACUUAAAGGUCGAGGACUCUACCAAAAAGAAACUGCAGCCUCUGACACAGUUUAGUCUUUCCUCUUUAGUUCCUGCAAAUCCUGUCACAUGCUGAUGUGAAACCUGGGUUUUGGUGUAUAAAUGUUGUUUUUAUGAUUAAAUGUGGCUGUAAUGUGAAGCACUUUGAGUGGUCCGUAUGACAAGAAACUUGGUAUAUAUAUUAAGUUCACUUGCCAUCUACUACACUGAUCAUAUAUUCUUUAAAAACACAAUUUGAGACUUAUGAAACUCUGAUACUAUUUGUAUUCAAAGCUUUUUGACGUAAGGAUCACUGUAGAACUAAACUGCUAUACAGACAAGUUAAACCGAGACUACAAUGUUCUACACUUACAUAUUCUUUACAGGUGUUUUCACACUUGAUAGUUCAGUAGAUUUGAUUGGGGACCAAAAUGACACCAUUUGUCACAUUUUUAGCUUGUGUAGUUCACUUUCACAGCGCUCAAAUGAAACAAAUGUUUCCUCCUGGCCUGUGGUGGCACUGCACCAAGAACCACUGAUUGAAACAACACAAAAAAUGAAGAAAACACUAACCACAACUUCUUCACGACAUGUAAACUAAAAUGGAGUGGGGUGAGAUUUUAGGAUUUCUCUUUUGUUUUUGGCAAAAGACCACAAGCUAUUUCUCCCACUAGCGCUAGAUUAACGCAUUUGUUUUGGUUGUAUUUACCCAGAAUGCCCUGGGCUAUUGUUCAUUUCCUGCUUUUUGGAGCCUCCGGUCCGCUUUUCAUUCAUAUAUGCAUUCAAACCACACCAGAGUUCACUUAAACGGAACUGGACCUUAGGUUUCUAGGUGGACUAGAGUUUGCUUUUUUGGUCCGAAAAUGCAUUUGCAUUCAAAUGAACCAGACAUCUUAGUCAAACAAACUAGAGUUUGAUUAAAGCAGACUAACACAAACUAACUAGGAGACUAGGAGAAGAUACAUAAAGUGAUUUCUUUCUCAUGACUAAUCCUGUUUAACUUCUGCUGCAAGACAUCAGACAAACCCACUGUUUAGAAUUUCUACUUCUCACUAAAAGGAUCAAACCACAUUUACUCAGGAGUUGAACCAUGAAGCAGAUUAUUCACAGGCCUGUUUUACUUUUUCACCCAAUGGCUGCCGAUGUUUGGGGGCUGCAGAACAAAGUGAGUGAAGGUUAUUGGAGCGAGUUCUGGCUUUGAGUCAUCACCGGACCUUUGACUUCACUAAUAUGCCAGUUUGUUUUUCCUGUGAAAUCUGUUUGCUGUUUAACACCUCUUUGUCCCUUUUUACAUAAAAGCUGCCCCUGAGGAGUUUUCACCAGCUAGCUUGAUGCUGUUUGGUGGCUUCAGCACUUUUCUCCACACAUAGGUUUUUAAACAAUAACAAAAGUCACAUCCAGACACAAUUUAAAUGAGACAAAUGGGUAAAAGACUGCAGCUGAUUUGUUUGCUUCCUGCAUGUUUGUGAUUCGUUUUUCAUUGAUUCUCCAGAGAGUCCGCAAUGCCUUACUGCGGAUUUAAUCUUCUGUGACGAAACACAGGACAAAAAAUAGAGAAGCUAUUUGGCUCGGGAGCCACAAAUGCAUAGAAAUACAAGUUCGAAGCAAAGUUUUACAGCCUAUUCUCUGACAUCUGCAUCACUCUGGCAGCACUUCUUAUCUCAGAAAUGUAUUUAUUACAGUCUGAGAUUAAUGCACUGUUUAUCGCUGAGCCUUAAUAACCCAUAUGUGCUCUGUUCUGUCAACUCUGCACCGAACGAGCGUAGUAAAUCACAAGAAUAUCUGACAUUCCUGCCUCACCUCCCGGUUAGUUCAAGCCUCACGCAGCAAAGCAUGUUUGCCGAGACCUAUGCAGUCACAUCAAAGCACAUUUACAUUCCCCUCUCAAGCCAAGUCUGCAGUCUGUACCGCCCCCCCGUCUGGCAGUAUAGCAGAAGGUGUGUGAUGUUAGCCCGAUCGGCUGUGAGAAACGACGGACGCACUGAGGAAAAGAUCGGCGAUCGAACAGGCGACGGCAGAUAACUGGCUUCAGUAAUGACCUCCUCCAAGUGUAAUGAGGCUGUGUGACAGCGAACAGGAAGCGCAACGGCAAUGAUAACUCUCUUUUGGAGAUCUGGGGAAAACAAAAAAAAUAGUUUCUUCUGCAGGGCUGAAUGUCUAGAAGUAACAAAGCAGCCUGUAGAAGAAGCAAAUAUGGACACUGCUAAAAAUACAAAAUCUUACCAAGUAUUUUUGGUCUAGUUUCUGGUGCAAGUACGGUAGUGCGCUUGAAAUACAACCAAAUUAACUUACAAGUAAC